GACACCUAUUGACCUCUAGUUUGUCCAGCAGAUGGAGCUGUUGGAUCCGUUUUACCCAGUCCUUGGCAAUUGAUUCAAGUACAGUCUCAUCCCAGCCUAUCCCUCUCUUGCACAGGACUCCCAGGAUUUUCUUGGCUGUCAGGAUCACUGGGCUACUCGAGAGGAUCAUAGAUUGAGGCAUUGGCUGAUAAUAUUCCUCUUCUGGUAAGUGGUCUGUCCUUAAAAUUGACCUUGAACUUAAAUUUGUCAGAUUUGAUAGACCAUUCAACACCAAGUACUCUCUCCACAGGUAGAGCAUCCAGGUCCAUGUCCAACUGCCCCAUCCCUCUUGCUCUGAGACUCACAGAGAUGGUUUCCAACACACCUGAUUUGUUGCUCAUCCACUUAAUGAGACAAAAUCCUCCCUUGGAGCAUAAAGAGACCAGUUCUUGGCGCAGCGACACAGCUUCCUCCUCUGUGGCCCCAAACAAAUGC
rnacentral:lncRNA from 1 species